rnacentral:rRNA from 1 species
CUAUGCGCCUUGCCAGCCCGCUCAGGUGUGCCAGCAGCCGCGGUAAUACGUAGGGGGCAAGCGUUAUCCGGAUUUACUGGGUGUAAAGGGAGCGUAGACGGCGGUGCAAGCCAGAUGUGAAAGCCCGGGGCUCAACCCCGGGACUGCAUUUGGAACUGUGCUGCUAGAGUGUCGGAGAGGCAGGCGGAAUUCCUAGUGUAGCGGUGAAAUGCGUAGAUAUUAGGAGGAACACCAGUGGCGAAGGCGGCCUGCUGGACGAUGACUGACGUUGAGCUCGAAAGCGUGGGAGCAAACAGG